AUUGAACGCUGGCGGAAUGCUUUACACAUGCAAGUCGAGCGGCAGCACGGGGGCAACCCUGGUGGCGAGCGGCGAACGGGUGAGUAACACAUCGGAACAUGCCCAGUCGUGGGGGAUAACACUUCGAAAGAAGUGCUAAUACCGCAUACGUCCUGAGGGAGAAAGCGGGGGAUCGCAAGACCUCGCGCGAUUGGAGUGGCCGAUGUCAGAUUAGCUAGUUGGUGGGGUAAAGGCCUACCAAGGCAACGAUCUGUAGCUGGUCUGAGAGGAUGAUCAGCCACACUGGGACUGAGACACGGCCCAGACUCCUACGGGAGGCAGCAGUGGGGAAUUUUGGACAAAGGGGGCAACCCUGAUCCAGCCAUUCCGCGUGAGUGAAGAAGGCCUUCGGGUUGUAAAGCUCUUUCGGCAGGAACGAAACGGUGAGCUCUAACAUAGCUUGCUAAUGACGGUACCUGAAGAAGAAGCACCGGCUAACUACGUG
rnacentral:rRNA from 1 species